UGAAGAUACAGAACUUAGCUUAUUGGUGAGCAUUGAGCUAAAAUGAUUUGUUCACAGUGGCUAAGUUCAGUGUCUGGA
rnacentral:pre_miRNA from 1 species